AGGACGAACGCUGGCGGCGUGCUUAAAACAUGCAAGUCGAACGAGGUCCAUGGGUUCGCAAGAACCCGGAAGACCUAGUGGCGAACGGGUGCGUAACACGUGAGGAACCUGCCCCAGAGACCGGGAUAACCCCUCGAAAGAGGAGCUAAUACCGGAUGUGCUCAUCGGAUCACCUGGUCUGAUGAGGAAAUGGAUUCCGCUCUGGGAUGGCCUCGCGGCCUAUCAGCUUGUUGGUGGGUAAUGGCCUACCAAGGCGACGACGGGUAGCUGGUCUGAGAGGACGAUCAGCCACACUGGGACUGAGACACGGCCCAGACUCCUACGGGAGCAGCAGUUAGG
rnacentral:rRNA from 1 species